CACUAAUAAAAUUGGAACAAUAUAGAAGUUAGCAUGGUACUGCACAAGGAUGACAUGCAAAUUCAUGAAGCAUUCUGUAUUUUU
rnacentral:snRNA from 1 species